GGAGGACCCGGGGGGCCAGGACCUCCAGGGGGUCCAGGCAGACCUGGGAAUCCUUCAGGACCAUUAACCAGUGGACCUGGGUUUCCCUUCUCUCCUUCCGGGCCAGGCAGAAGACGUCCAGGUUCACCUGGAAGUCCUGGGAAACCUGUGGGUCCUGGGUCUCCGGGAGCGCCAGGAGCACCGCUGUAACCAGGAUCUCCUGAAGGACCUGCAGGAACGGCAUUGUGGUUAAUCCUGAACCUAAGAGCUCAACAAGAAGGAUACAGAAAUGGAGACAGGGGGCUCACCUUUGGCCCGUCGUAACCUGGCCUGCCGGAGUAACCUGUGUCUCCUCUCUGUCCCUGUGAAAGUUCAACACUAAUGACUUUACCGGUAAUCCUGGAGCACCCUGAGGUCCAUUAAAACCUGGAGAACCCUGUUUGGAUGACGAUAAGAAACAUUACAGAUGCAGAAAAGGCAAGCUCUAAGUGUAGAGAUGAU